rnacentral:tRNA from 1 species
GGUUCCAUGGUGUAGAGAUUAGCAUAUCAGCUUUACAUGCACAAGGUCAUGGGUUUGAUCCCCAGUGGAGCCA